rnacentral:rRNA from 1 species
CCUACGGGCGGCAGCAGUAAGGGAUAUUGGUCAAUGGGGGAAACCCUGAACCAGCAACGCCGCGUGAGGGAAGACGGUUUUCGGAUUGUAAACCUCUGUUCUCUGUGAAGAUGAUGACGGUAGCAGAGGAGGAAGCUGCGGCGAACUACGUGCCAGCAGCCGCGGCAAGACGGAGGGAGCGAGGGUUGUCCGGAUUUACUGGGUGUAAAGGGUGCGUAGGCGGCUUGGCAAGUCAGGAGGGAAAUCCAUGGGCUUAACCCAUGAACUGCUAUUGAAACUGUCGAGCUUGAGUGAAGGAGAGGUAUGCGGAAUGCCCGGUGUAGCGGUGAAAUGCGUAGAGAUCGGGAGGAACACCAGUGGCGAAGGCGGCCUACUGGGCUUUAACUGACGCUGAGGCACGAAAGCGUGGGUAGCAAACAGGAUUAGAUACCCGGGUAGUC